CAUUUCGAUGUAUUAUUUUGCUUACAAGACUUCUGCUUUUUAGAAAACCCUGAUUUCUUCCCACUUUCUAUUAGGAGUAAGGAGAGCAAGUAGUAAUGAGGGAUGAUGAGGAGUGAAAGCCCAUUCUGACAUCCAUGUGUCAUUUGCAGCAAUCUUAUGAAGCAGGCAGUAGUAUAUUUAUUUUACAAUGGGAUCAACUUGGGAAUUUCUCGUCAGCCUCUUGCAAGGAAAAGAUAGAAGUUUCAGGGAGAUUUUGGACAAACAUGCCGCUCAACAGACCAUUUCUACUCUGUCAUUUCUCUUCCAUUUGUAGGAGUUCCAGUUUCAAAACCAAGUAAUACCUCCGAGAAAGAGCAAGGACCAGAGUUUUGGGGUCUAAGUCUUAUAAAUUCUGGGAAAAAGAGCACUGCAGAUUACAGCCUGGAUAAUGAGCCAGCUCAGGCGGUGUCAGGUGUUCACUGGGGCUAUGAGGAGACCAAGACUUUCCUGGCAAUUUUGAGUGAAUCUCCUUUCUCUGAAAAGCUCCGGACUUGUCAC
rnacentral:lncRNA from 1 species